GACGAACGCUGGCGGCGUGCUUAACACAUGCAAGUCGAACGGGUCUGCCCUGUUUUUUGCGGGGUGGGUCAGUGGCGAACGGGUGAGUAACACGUGAGUAACCUGCCCCUCACUUCUGGAUAACCGCUUGAAAGGGUGGCUAAUACGGGGUGUUCUGGCUGUGCCGCAUGGUGUGGCUGGGAAAGAUUCACUUUUGUGGUGUUUUGGUGGGGGAUGGGCUCGCGGCCUAUCAGCUUGUUGGUGGGGUGAUGGCCUGCCAAGGCUUUGACGGGUAGCCGGCCUGGGAGGGUGGGCGGGCACACAGGGACUGAGAUGCGGCCCAGACUCCGGCGGGAGGCAGCAGUGGGGGGUAGUGCACAAUGGGCGGAAGCCUGAUGCAGCGACGUCGCGUGAGGGAUGGAGGCCUUCGGGUUGUGAACCUCUUUCGCCGGUGAAGAAGGUCCUGCUCUUUGUGGUGGGGUUGACGGUAGCCGGGUUAUGAAGCGCCGGCUAAAUACGUG
rnacentral:rRNA from 1 species